UACAGAGGUCCCAAGCGUUGUUCGGAUUCAUUGGGCGUAAAGGGUGCGUAGGCGGCGCGGUAAGUCGGGUGUGAAAUCUCGGAGCUUAACUCCGAAACUGCAUUCGAUACUGCCGUGCUUGAGGACUGGAGAGGAGACUGGAAUUUACGGUGUAGCGGUGAAAUGCGCAGAUAUCAGGAGGAACACCAGUGGCGAAGGCGGUUCUCUGGGCAUUACCUGACGCUGAGGAGCGAAAGUGUGGGGAGCGAACAGG
rnacentral:rRNA from 1 species